UUUUUUACCUAUUUGUUGAGUUCGGAACCAUUGGGAAUGCUUAGAUUUUUUUUAGUUGAAGUUCAUGUGUGCGUGCAUGCGUGUGCCUGCCGUUUAACCCAGAAGAGUUAUACUGUAAAUCUGUCUAGUUGGUACCAGAUGUAUAUUUUUAGAACUAUCAGCUGCUUUAAAAAAAAAAUCACUGAUUAGAGAAAGAAUUGAGAUUCUGAGUGGGAUUUUUAUCUUGUUUAUUUAUUACUUAAAAUCAUAGCAUACUGUAUAUUGAUGAUUUUAAAAGAUUAAGAUUUGUGAAAGAAAUGCAGAUUCUCUUAUUAUGUUCCGCAAAAUGAAUGUCCUGACAAGGGAAAAAUUAUUGGUAGAAUACAGUCAAACCUCGUUUCUAGAACAUCUUCCAUCUUCAACAAUUUGGUUGUCAAUCAGGUUGUUCACAGAAAGAAAGUCUCUAUUGUUGUUGAACCAAACUUCUACCUGACAACCCUUUUGUGCUGAUACCUCAGUGUGGCAAAAAGCAUAUCUCAGGCAACAAAGGAGGGAAUGCUUUUGUUGCUGGCAAAAUCAAUGACUAGCACAAUUUUGAAACAUAAAGAGGCCAUCAAGAGUGCUAAUGUUGCUAAGGUUGUGAAAGAAACAAUGAUCACAGACAAUUAAGAGGUAGAAGGAAAGCAGUUAGCAGUGACAGCAUUUGGGAGGCAAAGAUGCUGCAUGCUGACCUGAAAGACACCCUGGACAAGUCCUGAAAGUGAUUCCUUUACAGCUAGGAGUGGGUAGUUCAACAAAUUAAAAAAAAAAGUGUUUAUUAAUACAUUAAAUUACAUUAGCAUAUACUGUAUAUAAGAAGGGUGGGUACUUGCUAGAAGCUUUGCCAAAGGAAGACAUUCUGUGUUCAGUCUUGGCAGCAGCCAUUACAGUAACACUCGGUUCCACUGUCAUACUGUGUGUGCUCCUGUGUCAUACUGUGUGCUGCUCCUGUGGUCAUACUGUGUGCUGCUCCUGUGAAGACCCCAGAGGCUGUUCUCAAGGUUUUACAGUCCAUCUAAGGAAAUCACAGUAAAAGUAUGAACAUAACUUUUUGUACAGUACCAGUGGUUUUUGCACAUUUCACCCCCUCUUCCUGCCUUUAGGCCGCACCCCCCAACCUGGGGGUAAACCGAAGAGGCUGCUGGUGGCUCAGCCUGGCCACCUUGGAGGCCGAGAUCACUUGUUCACCACCUGUUGUCCACACCUGUGCACUCAGGUUGGAAAGCUCUAGAUUCACAGAUAUUCAAAUUUUAAACUUGGGCCUUACAUAGAGUGGUUUUCCUUAUAAGAAGUGUGCAUCUCAGCAAGGAACUCAAAAAGGCAAAUGUGUUUUCCAAGCUUUAAAAAAAAGAAAUCAGCUUUAGGAUUUUGUGUGAAAAUGUGCAAUUCAGCAGAACCACCUGUAAGUAAAUUAUUUGGUUAUUUCUAUUUCAGUGUUUUCUGUUUUAUGAUACUGAUUUUCCCUUUCAAUAAUAAAUGAUGUGACCAACCAAGGAGAAAUCUUUAUUCUGUUAUAAGAUUAUUUUUACAGUUAGGAAUUACAAAAAGAAUAAUGGAUCAUAAAUGUGUUUUCCUUUUGGAAUAAGAGGAAUUCUCUCUGGGGGAUUCUUGUGGUGUAUCAUUUCCAUUCAUAGUAACCUCACUGGCCACACUUGCACUUGAGUUGGUGUUGAGAAUCAAACUGGAAGUCCACCAAUGGCCCACAGACUUGUGUGAGCUUGCUUCCUUGUGAUUUAACUAGAUUUUUCUGGCCUUUGAAUCUUGUUACCUGUUGCAAUGCUUAGUUGAACUUGAUUCUAAAUUCAGUAAAAUAAAUUAUCUGAAUCUGA